AGCUCCAAUAGCGUAUAUUAAAGUUGUUGCGGUUAAAAAGCUCGUAGUUGGAUUUCUGCCGAGGACGACCGAUCGACCCAUACGGGUUUGAAUCAGGUUUGACCGAGGCAUCCUCUUGGAAGACGUAUUGCACUUUACUGGGUAAUACGGAGUCCAAGACUUUUACUUUGAGGAAAUUAGAGUGUUUCAAGCAGGCAAUCGCCGUGAAUACAUUAGCAUGGAAUAAUAAUAUAGGACUUCGGUUCUAUUUUGUUGGUUUCUGGAACUGAAGUAAUGAUUAAUAGGGACAGUCGGGGGCAUACGUACUUAACAGUCAGAGGUGAAAUUCUUGGAUUUGUUAAAGACGAACUACUGCGAAAGCAUUUGCCAAGGAUGUUUUCA
rnacentral:rRNA from 1 species